GAUGAACGCUGGCGGCGUGCCUAAUACAUGCAAGUUGAGCGAAUGGAUUAAGAGCUUGCUCUUAUGAAGUUAGCGGCGGACGGGUGAGUAACACGUGGGUAACCUGCCCAUAAGACUGGGAUAACUCCGGGAAACCGGGGCUAAUACCGGAUAACAUUUUGAACCGCAUGGUUCGAAAUUGAAAGGCGGCUUCGGCUGUCACUUAUGGAUGGACCCGCGUCGCAUUAGCUAGUUGGUGAGGUAACGGCUCACCAAGGCAACGAUGCGUAGCCGACCGGAGAGGGUGAGCGGCCACACUGGGAGUGGGACACGGCCCAGACGCCUACGGGAGGCAGCAGUAGGAAAUCUUCCGCAAUGGACGAAAGUCUGACGGAGCAACGCCGCGUGAGUGAUGAAGGCUUUCGGGUCGUAAAACUCUGUUGUUAGGGAAGAACAAGUGCUAGUUGAAUAAGCUGGCACCUUGACGGUACCUAACCAGAAAGCCACGGCUAACUACGUGCCAGCCGCCGCCGCCG
rnacentral:rRNA from 1 species